rnacentral:rRNA from 1 species
AUUGAACGCUGGCGGCAGGCCUAACACAUGCAAGUCGAGCGCGCGGCGGACGGGUGAGUAAUGUAUGGGGACUGCCCGAUAGAGGGGGAGAACUCCUGGAAACGGUAGCUAAUACCGCAUACUAUCGGAUAACCCAUAUGGGAUUAGCUAGUUGGUGGGGUAAUGGCUCACCUAGGCGACGAUCCCUAGCUGGUCUGAGAGGAUGAUCAGCCACACUGGGACGGAGACACGGCCCAGACUCCUACGGAGGCAGCAGUGGGGAAUAUUGCACAAUGGGCGCAAGCCUGAUGCAGCCAUGCCGCGUGUAUGAAGAAGGCCCUAGGGUUGUAAAGUACUUUCAGUCGGGAGGCGUUACCCGCAGAAGAAGCACCGGCUAACUCCGUGCCAGCAGCCGCGGUAAUUC